AGAGUUUGAUCAUGGCUCAGGAUGAACGCUGACAGAAUGCUUAACACAUGCAAGUCUACUUGAUCCUCGGGUGAAGGUGGCGGACGGGUGAGUAACGCGUAAAGAACUUGCCUUACAGACUGGGACAACAUUUGGAAACGAAUGCUAAUACCGGAUAUUAUGAUUGGGUCGCAUGAUCUGGUUAUGAAAGCUAUAUGCGCUGUGAGAGAGCUUUGCGUCCCAUUAGUUAGUUGGUGAGGUAACGGCUCACCAAGACGAUGAUGGGUAGCCGGCCUGAGAGGGUGAACGGCCACAAGGGGACUGAGACACGGCCCUUACUCCUACGGGAGGCAGCAGUGGGGAAUAUUGGACAAUGGACCAAAAGUCUGAUCCAGCCAAUUCUGUGUGCACGAUGAAGUUUUUCGGAAUGUAAAGUGCUUUCAGUUGGGAAGAAGUCAGUGACGGUACCAACAGAAGAAGCGACGGCUAAAUACGUGCCAGCCGCCGC
rnacentral:rRNA from 1 species